UAUUUUUCAGUGACAUUUGGAGCUUAAUAGUUGUGUGUAUUCGAGAUGAAAAUUGUGAAGGGAGAGAGACUAUACUUCACUUGGAUUCAGUUGAAGGAGAACAUACAAAAGAAUCAUUUGUUGACAAUGUCAAAAGGUUGUUAAUAAAAGAAUGGGAUCAGCAGAAGAAACAACACACUUCUUCUGUUGGUGAUCUACCACUCUUACAAAUGAUUAAUGCCCCAUAUGUAAAGGUAUAUCUUUUACUUUACCCUCAGAGUACUCUGAUUCAACUUUAAGUUCUUUUAAACGAUUUCUUAUGGAUUUAAAUAAUUAAACGCUAGAACCCAUGAAGAGUCAAAUUAUCUUAUGUAAAUCUUUUGUUCAACAAGUGUCCACAAAAACAAAAAUGCGGUCGAGUAUGGUGAAGAUGAAGUUGAUGGUGAAGAAGAGACACUCUCAAUAUGUAAGUUUUUUACUCAUAUAUAAACUUUUAUACAUAUCAAAAACAUGCGGGUUCACGCAAAGAGCGUCUCUGAUUUGAGAACCCAAAUAGGAAAACUUACAGAAGAUGAAGUUGAUGGUGAAGAAGAGACACUCUCAAUCGAUUGAAGAACAAGAAGUGUGAUUUGUUGUUUUGAUUUGGUGUUUGCAUUUUAUUUCUUUUUAGAAUUGACAGCUUUAAUUUGGUGUUAGGUUUUAUUUAAUUUCGGAUUCAGAAAAAUAAAGCUUUGGUUAUGAACUUA